rnacentral:lncRNA from 1 species
UCAUUGGUUAAAUUUAUUUGUAGGUAUUUUGUUUAUUUGUUUUAGCUAUUGUAAAUGAAACGAUUCUCUUGAUUGAUUUUUCAGAUAGCUUGAUAUUAGCAUAUGGAAAUACUAAUGAUGUUUAUGUGAUUAAAUCAGCAGUUAAAAGUCUUCUAUCAAAUAAAAGUCCAGGACCUGAAGGCUUCCCUGCUAAAUUCUAUAAAACACAUUUAAAAAAAAAAAAAAAAACUGACACCGAUUUUUCUCAAAUUAUUCAAACAAGGAAAUUCUUUCAAACUCAUCCUAUGAGACAAGCAUUAUCCUGAUACCAAAACCAAAUAAGGACACAGACAACAACAACAACAACAAAAGAAAGCUGUAAGCAAAUAUCUCUGAAGAAUAUAAAGGCAAACAUUCUCAGCAAAAUAAAACCAAGCCAAAUCUAACAGCACAUUGAAAAGAUCAUUCACUACAAGUGCAUGGGAUUCAUUCCUGGGAUGAUGCAGGAUGGCUCAGUGUACACAAAUGAAUAAAUGUGAUACACCACAUUAACACAAUCGCGCACAAAAGCCAUAUGAUCAUUUCUAAUAGAUGCAUAAAAAGCCCUUGAUAGAGUUCAACAUAUCUUCAUGAUAUUAAAAAAAAGCUCUGAAGAAAUUAAGUAUAGAAUAAUAUCUCAACAGAAUAAAGGUCAUGCAUGACCAACUCACAUCUAAUAUCAUACUGAACGUGGAAAAAAUGGAAGCUUUUCUAGAAUAAGACAAGGAUACUAAUUUUGCCACUUUUACUCAGAAUAUUACUGGGAGUUCUAGCCAGAGAAAUUUGGCAAGAGAAAGAAAUAAAGGGCAUCCAAAUUUGAAAAGAUGAAGUCAUACUGUCCUUGUUUGCAGAUGACAUGAUCUUGUUUAUAGAAGACCCUAACGACUCCACCAAAAAAGAAAACAAAUGAUUGAAACUAAUGAUAAAUUAUGUAAAGAUUCAGGAUGCAAAAUCAACUGAAAAGAUAUUUUUAACACUUUUUGUUCAUAUCAAGUACAUAUGAGAGAAGUUUCCAAGGAAUAGUUUUUCUCUAUAAUGAUAAAUAUUCUGUUUAUUUUUCCUUUCAGAGUUGGUACCAAUUAAAAUACCAUGUACUAAUUGAUGAAAGUUAAUUGAAAAGAUCAAAUGUUGGUUUUCUAGAUUAGAUUAAUAGGAAGUAAUAUUACAUUUUGCUCAUGAUGUAAAGAAACUUCAAGCUCAAAACAACUUUUAGAAAGCAUUUUAUAUUGAAUUUGAGAUUCAAACACAUCACUGAAAAUAAAAUAUUAACAGAAACUCUAGUAUUCACUAGUGUACCAAUCCAGAGACAAAAGAAAAGUCCUAACCCAUGUCAAGUCUAUUUUCUUUUAUCUUUAUUGCCCUAGCUAUUAAUAUUUAGCCUCCCCUUAUGGUCCGAGAUGGCUGUGGAAUACCACGCCACAUUUUUAUGUUUUAUUCUAAAAAAGGAGGGUGGGUGAAAGGGGAGAACAUUGCAAUCUUCUUUUCCAGUGAGAAACAUUUGAAGUGCGCUUUUAUACCAUUUACCAGAACUUAGUCACGGGGACCAUAUGGUGUUUAGCUGGGAAUAUUGCAGAAUGAAAUGUAGGAAAAUGGAAUUAGAAGUUUUUUUAUUCAUAACUAUUGUAAUUAAAAUUGUGGACCUGGCAUAAUAAAGAAAAUAAUUAAAACUACAUGUAUUUUAAGAGUUUAUUUUGUGCCACGUUAAGUGCUAUCUAUCUAUAAUUACUUUUCAUUUAAUGUUUAAA